GUUUGAUCCUGGCUCAGAUUGAACGCUGGCGGCAUGCCUUACACAUGCAAGUCGAACGGUAACAGGUCUUCGGAUGCUGACGAGUGGCGAACGGGUGAGUAAUACAUCGGAACGUGCCCGAUCGUGGGGGAUAACGCAGCGAAAGCUGUGCUAAUACCGCAUACGAUCUACGGAUGAAAGCGGGGGAUCGCAAGACCUCGCGCGGACGGAGCGGCCGAUGGCAGAUUAGGUAGUUGGUGGGAUAAAAGCUUACCAAGCCGACGAUCUGUAGCUGGUCUGAGAGGACGACCAGCCACACUGGGACUGAGACACGGCCCAGACUCCUACGGGAGGCAGCAGUGGGGAAUUUUGGACAAUGGGCGCAAGCCUGAUCCAGCCAUGCCGCGUGCAGUGAUGAAGGUCUUCGGAUCGUAAAGCUCGUGUGGGAAGGGACGAAAAAGACCUAACCUAAUACGUUAGGUCUUGACGGUACCGUUCUUAGCAAGCACCGGCUAACUCCGU
rnacentral:rRNA from 1 species